rnacentral:lncRNA from 1 species
AUCGCUAAUAGUGUUUGGGAAGCAGCCAUUCUCUGAGGGUUCUGGAACACCGGGCACUGCUGACUCACUCACCAGUAGAAGGCUGGUGGUCUCCUAGCUGACCAUUGUGGGAGAGAACAGCAGGCACUGGCUACCCUGCUUCCCUACAGGAAGAGAUGUGGCCUCCGCUAUCUCCCACUGACAGAGGCCAGGCGUGGGUGGUGGUCAGACUGGCAAGUGGUGUGCUCUGUAUCCCUAAUUCACAAGCUGUCCUUGGAAAAAUAUUUUGACAUCAUUGCUGACGCUCUAAUGCAAGGCUCAUCUCAGUGUUUUGCCUUGGCAGGUGACGUUGACCCUUUUUACACAUCCCUGGAAAAUGGAAGUUAUUUGACAAGAGCAGAAAAGGAAGCAGAAUGUAAAUGCACUCAGGUCUUUCCUGCUGCAAAUCUGAACCAACAUUCCCGAGAGACACAUUUGCAGGCCUUCCUCUUCCCGAUCUCGUUUGGGUUGUGUGACAUUCGGAGGUUCUGUGGCCUUUCUGGUCUAAUCUCCCUACGGUUUAAGAUAAGGAAACCAACUUCUGCAGAGUGGCGAGGCUUCUCCAGAUGCAGGUGUAACUCGAGGACUUGCUUCCAAUUCUGGUCCCUGUGACUCCACAGCCACAUUCACAGCCACCCAGCCACAGGAGCAUAAAGCAGAAAAAUACAACAAGAUCUACUGCAGCCCAUUCUAGUGCCUGAAUCGUGUCCAGGGAUUAAGGGAUGUCACAGGGAUCUCACAACAGGGAUGGGAGUUCAGGCCUCAUGGGAAUCAGAAUCCGAACCCCAGUGUGAUAGGAAGGAACAGGUCCCCCAAAGAUAUCCAGGUCCUAAUACCCGAAAUCUGAGAAGGUUACCUUACAUGGAAAAAGCUUCUUUGUAGAUGUGCUUCAGUUAGGGAUAUUGAAAUGGGGGGAUUAUUCUGCAUUAUCCUGCUGUGCCCUAAAUAUAAUUGGAGGCAUACAUAGGGGCCAAGGGCUGGUCAUUCAAAAUGUGUUGCUUUGGCAUGUUGAUUAUUUUAAAUAAAAGUUACUUAAGAAACA